UUUCAUAUAGAAAUUUAGCACCUAAGAGUCUGGUUGCCUGAGGAAUUCGCUAUGAUUCUCUUAAUUUGUCGUUUAUUAAUAUGCACUCGGCUUAUAUUAAUGUAUUGUAAAUUGAUUUAUUUUUAUAUAAUUUUUAUAAUUAGGAGAAUAAUUAUAAUUAGGAGAAGAUCAAAGAUAAGAUGAUACAAGUGACACGAAUGUGAGAAAAAUUCGUAACGGAUUAUAGAAGUUAUUUUCUUUCGAAAGAAUCACGUUUUAUCUCGGCUCAACAGAGCCUCACGUGCGGUCGCUUUCAUCUGUUCUUCAUUCGUCUCUCCGUUUGUUUAUCAGCUACGUGGCGUAUUAUCAGCCACCAGUAAUGCCGAGCCACCAAUAAUGAAACGGCACCUUCGUCAGUUGCCGAAGUGCAGUCUUAUCAUCUCGCGUCACGUCGCGUUUCGCUCUACCGCUUGUUCGGGAAAAAUGAAAUCGAGAAGGAAAUCGAUAAGAAGCAGGGAAAGGAAAACGAGGAAAAUCGCUAACUGAGAAUGGCUCCUUUUCGUUAUCGAUUACGAUGUAUGUGUAAUGUAAAUUGAAUUAAUGCUAGUGGAAUAUUACGGUGCGACUACACGUAUAUGGCGAUAACAGAUGGCCUUGGAUUGACUCAGUGUGCUCGUUAUCUUGUGAAAUUAGCCUCAUAGAGUUGUGUCUUUAAUAAAGGCUUGAUUAGAAGCAGCGGAAUUUAUUCUAGUGAAGUGCGGAAACACAAGUGUACGACGCGAGCGCGCCACAAUUUUACGUUAGAAUGAGACCAGAAACUUUAACCGGUAAACUCAAGCAAUAUCAACGUGGCAAGAGGGAAAUCUCUCGUGGGCUCGCGCCGCAUCCUUUGACGUGGAUUUUUCCUGGCAAAGUUUCUUCAGUAUCUCGUUCACGGCGGAAGGAAAAGUCGAACUAAUAAAACCACGAUUAUCUGUGCCCUCUUCACAACAAGAAUUUUCGCGACUGUGUGUUUAAGGGGAUGCUAAACUGACGUACGAACUCCGACAAAACGUUCACACAUCUACACAUGCACAUCUACACAUACAUAGAUACAUUUAUGUAUACACUCAUACAUACAUUUCUGUACACACAUGAUGCACAUAUGAACAAAUUUUGUGAUAUUCCUCUGAUCGUAAUAAGUGUCUAAGCCUAAUUCUAAGAACUCAAUGUUGCUUCUUCAUGUAACCUUCUAGUCUAGCAAUAUCAGUUUUGUAGGUACAGUAAAGGUGUUUUGUAGAUACUGUAAAAGUUUCAUAUAAAGCAAAUAUUUACGCGACUUGACUUUUGGACGCCAUUUUACCAAAUGAUAAAAAAGAUCAAAAAGAUUAAAAAAUUUUUUCUUGUUCUUGAUACGAAAUUUAUAUGCUAAGCAUGUAUUAAUGUAAACUUUAAUUGUGGAAAGGAUUUCCAGAUUAAUAAAGUUAAUGAAAAAAUGAGAGCAAUACAAAAAUUACUGCGUUUUGUCGAUAAUAUAGACAAGUUCAGUAUCGCCUUAAGGCGAUGCUGGAGAUACCGACUGAGUUGAUUAUUUUCAGACAAGGUAAUCUUUUCAUUGAUUAUACAGAAUUAAAAAUCCUUUUUCAGAAUUGAAGUAUAGACAAUAACGCACCCGCGUCUGUAUAUUUCAUAUAAAAGAGGAAAAAAAAUUAGAAAAUUACAAUUUUGUUAUCGACUUUUGAGGUUAACUUGUGACAACAUUUUGUUGUACACAAAAGUUUAGACUUUGAACAUAUAAACAACACAUACUCAUCCAGGUCGGAAUUAUAAGGAAGAAUAAUACUAUGCUUUUAAAAAUAUGCCAAGCAGCUGUAUAUAAGAGAAUAUUUUGCCUGAAAAUUUUAUGGAUAUGAUGCGUGCCUAUAUGUAUGAGUAUAUGUAUGUAUACAUAAAUGUAUCUAUGUAUGUUUAGAUGUGCAUGUGAACAUUUUCGUCGGAAUUCGCCUCGUCAGUCCAGCAUCGCCAGGUGACCGUAAAAACGGUCGGCUGGAUUAAAACGCCGUCCGAUCGACGGAAUGGGAAUGAAAAAAAA